AAGACUAUACUUCACAGGAUCAUUUCUGUAGUCAGUCUUCAUUUACUUUCUUUGCAAAUCGAAAGUAUUAGCACCCGCGAUGAGGAGGUAUAUCGUUUUAUCUGACAGCGUGAGGUUUAUGAACUUCAUUUCUAAUUUUGUCUUAUGGCAAAUUAGGAAUGUUGUUUCUUCGAUGAUCGCUCGGUUACAACGGAUAAAACGACUUCUGAGUGGU
rnacentral:snoRNA from 1 species